CUACGGGUGGCUGCAGUGAGGAAUAUUGCACAAUGGGCGAAAGCCUGAUGCAGCAACGCCGCGUGAAGGAAGACGGUUUUCGGAUUGUAAACUUCUAUCAGCUGGGAAGAAAAUGACGGUACCAGACUAAGAAGCCCCGGCUAACUAUGUGCCAGCAGCCGCGGUAAUACAUAGGGGGCAAGCGUUAUCCGGAAUUACUGGGUGUAAAGGGUACGUAGGCGGCUGAUCAAGUCAGAUGUGAAAGCCCGGAGCUCAACUCCGGGAUUGCAUUUGAAAUUGGUCGGCUAGAGUGCAGGAGAGGUAAGUGGAAUUCCUAGUGUAGCGGUGAAAUGCGUAGAUAUUAGGAAGAACACCAGUGGCGAAGGCGGCUUACUGGACUGUAACUGACGCUGAGGUACGAAAGCGUGGGGAGCGAACAGGAUUAGAUACCCUAGUAGUC
rnacentral:rRNA from 1 species